ACUCAAAUGAAUUGACGGGGACCUGCACAAGUGGUGGAACAUGCGGUUUAAUUCGAUGUUACGCGAAAAACCUUACCAACUCUUGACAUAGUGAUCGCGAGGUUCAGAAAUGAACUUCUUCGGUUCGGCCGGAUCACAUACAGGUGUUGCAUGGCUGUCGUCAGCUCGUGUUGUGAGAUGUUAGGUUAAGUCCUGCAACGAGCGCAACCCCUAUCCUUAUUUGCCAGCGGGUAAUGCCGGGAACUAUAAGGAAACUGCCAGUUAUAAACUGGAGGAAGGUGGGGAUGAAGUCAGGUCAGCAUGGCCCUUAAGGGUUGGGCGACACGCGUGUUACAAUGGUAGAGACAAAGGGACGCCAAGGAGCGAUCUGGAGCAAAUCUCAAAAACUCUACCUCAGUUCGGAUUGCACUCUGCAACUCGGGUGCAUGAAGUUGGAAUCACUAGUAAUCGUAGAUCAGCACGCUACGGUGAAUACGUUCACAGGUCUUGUACACACCGCCCGU
rnacentral:rRNA from 1 species